AUGUGCUAUGGAGUCUAUGUAUCAAAGGUUUCAGAAGUGAAUAGACAGCAGAACAAGACCACGGCCAGGACUAACUGCGGGGCUAAAAUUAGGACGAAGAAGGAAAGGGAUGGAACACUAGUCGUAAAAGAGAUAAUCUCGGAACACAACCACAUGCUACAACUCACCACAGAAAUGCUUGUCUUUUUGCACUCCCAUAAAAAAAUUGACAAGACAAUAUUGGAGUACGUCAAGUACCUGCAGUUCAAAGGCAUUGAACACGCGCGAAUCAUGAGCAUACUGGGUGGCGAUGACCCAGGUAGCUACUUCCUGGAAAUGAAUGCCAAAGUCCUAAUUAACAUCAAAGCAAAGAACUCAAGGAUGGAUGACGUGGGAGAUGUCUUGAAGGCUGUCAACUUCUUUAGGGAGAUGAAAGCAAUAAACAGGGAAUUCUUCUGCGACAUACAACUUGAUGAGAGCUGCCGAGGGGCAUACCAAGACUUUAGUGACUGCGUGACGUUUGACACCACGUAUAAGACCAACAAAUACCAUAUGCCACUUGGAGUGUUUGUGGGUACCAACAACCACUUUCAGACUACAAUCUUUGCUUUCGCCCUGAUAAGAGAUGAGGAUGCAGAUUCAUUCAGAUGGCUUUUCAAAACAUUUUUAAAAUGCAUGAGAGGGAAGGCUCCUACAUGCAUCCUCACAGACCAGUGCCCGACAAUGGCUUUGGCGAUCCCAGAUGUUUUCAAGAACACAGUACAUAAGCUAUGCCGCUGGCACAUUAUGAAGAAGUACAGGGAACACCUCGCGUACCUGUACGACCUCCACAAAACCUUUAAGGAUGAAUUCACAGCAAUCCUCAACUAGCCCCUCAUGCCAACUGAGUUUGAGACUGCCUGGAAAGAUCUCAUGGAUAGGUACAACCUCCAUGAUGAUGCCACGAUGGUGGCAAUGUGGAAUGAGCGAGAGAAAUGAAUAUCAGCUUAGUUCAAAAAAUUCUGUGCCAGAAUGACAUCGACACAACGGAGUGAGAGCAUGAACUAUGUGCUGAAGAAGAACUACACACGUGAGAGACAAAACCUGCACCGGUUUGUCAGCCAGGUAAACACUUGCAUCAAAAAUAGGUGGCAGGCAGAAAACAAGGAGACAAUGGGUAACCGGGUAUAG
rnacentral:rRNA from 1 species